rnacentral:lncRNA from 1 species
CAGCACAGAGGAUAGGGCCUUCCUCCUCAAAAUGACGAUCUGCCCUCCUGCUGACAAUAACCCCUGUGCCCUCAUCCAAUCUAGCAAAGUUGGACUGCAUGCACAUUGAGCACACAAUUCAGCGAUGGGAUUAAUACAUUUAUCAGUUGAUAAGAAACAUUAAAUUUUGUCCAGGGAUAAAAAGGAAGAAAGAAAACAUAGGUGAAACAUGCUUCUUUCCGCACUACAGCCGGUCAAAUUCAAUGAUCCAAGCCAUUUCUUAGAAGAGCUACAGACCAAGAUCUGACAAAAAGUGUUGGCCAAACUUAGUUAUUGCAUGCACACUCUUGAAUGAUCUGAACCAUUGCUAACUACCUAAAAUUACAGCCUAAGAGUCUAACGAAACUGAGCAUCAAUUUACAACGCAAAACAGAAGACUGAAUGAUGAACAAUAACUGCUGGGCAUACAAGUUGACAGCAGAAGGAGCCAGCUUUAGCAAUAGAACGGCAAGAACACACUAUGAUCUGAACAAAUCGAGCUACCACUACUUCAGCUGCAAUCCGGUGCUACCCAAGAACGUGGUGCCGAUCUUGACACAACAGACAUAGCAAAUGCAUCAUUCAGGUGCGUUAAGGUUGUCUGAAAAGUAACAUCACAAUGCAUAUCCAUUAGAGAACUGCAGCUUGCUGAUUCAGAGUUUGUAAAAAAAAUCAAGUACACAACCUUGAGGGCGAAUCAGCGGCGUCCUGCUCGGGAAGACGGAGGCAGGGUUGAAUACGAGUGCGUCGAUUCCGGGGCCGCGGCGUCGUCCUCCUCUGGGCAUCGCUGCCGGCGGAACAGCGGCGGCAGGGUCCGGCCGGGGCGUCGUCCUCCUCUGGGCGUCGCUGUGUCCUGCUCGGGGAGACGGCGGCGGGGUUGAAUACGGGUACGGCUGGUCGCGCCGUCGUAUUCAACCCGAGCGAUGCGAGGGCGGAGAAUACUGCUGAGCGGUUCCAACAUAUGCAAACGUCCUGCGAGCGAUGCGGGGUUGUUGGUGCCCGUCAAAAAA